GAUUUAGCAGCAUAUUGCCUUCAGUUAGGGAUCAUGCAAUGAGUUAACAAAGUAUGGCAGCUUCAGAUGCUGAUGUGAAUAGGAAGGGAAGAUAUGGAAAAAGAGGAACAGGUCUCCCUCUUGCUGCUCCCUGGUCUUUAGAAGAUUUUUCCUUGAGACGCUCCUGCCAACAUAAUUCCAUGUACCAACUUACAGGUCCUUCCGCCAGGAGCAUCUUCCUUAGUUUCUCAGAGCAGUCCAUUAGAUGUGUGUGUGCUCCGGAGUACAUCAGCUCUUCUUGCAUCACGGAGAGACAUCUGAAUCAGCUGUUCUUUCAUCAUGCUGUGAGCAUCCUGCCGUGAUGAGCGUGUUUCCUGUAUUUAAAGAAAGUUAUUCACUAUAGUCCUUAAACUAAGUCAGUCACUGAAGAUAAGGAAUUACGUUGCGUUUUAUGGAUAAUAAGCAGUAGAGCAUACAACCAAGUGAGAGAAAAGAAGAGAAAGGCCAAGAUGAAAAAGGUGGUGGAUGAAGAAGAAAGAAGAGGAGGUGGAGGCGGAGGGCAAGAAGAAGCAGAAGGAGCAGCAUCGCCUUGGUUCUCCCUAUGGCUAAAGGGGUCCAAGGAAGCUUAAGAGGGGCCUAAAAGUAAUAAUAACAGCAACAUCAGCAGCACUAGUUUUCACUACAGCUACCAUUUUCUUAGCAUUUCUUUUUAAAUCCCGCAAAAUCUCUCCUUUCCUUCCGUCUUGCCAUAUGCCCUUUGCCACCCCAGAUGGCAUGCUCCUGUGGCCUGUUCUGUAACAUCUGUGAUGAUCAAUGGAAUUCAACACAAAAACUAGACUUGUAGUUAUUUUUACAGUACACCCAUACAAGAUUUAAUUGUACAAUAACUGAUUUCUAUUAUUUUUAAUUGAAUUAGGCAACGUUGCAUGUAAAUUAGGAAAGAAGCGACCUGCCCUACAGUUUUACCAAGGGAACGAAGGAAAGGAAGCAGUGCUAAGGUUUAGACUGGGCAGAGAAAAGGGAACUCACACCCAGGGUCCCUGUGACCUCAAGAGAGCCCUUCUGCGCAGUGAGUUGGUUGGCCAAGGUGAUUGCGCCAUCACCCCAUGGUCCUGAGAUGCCAAGGUGAAGGCUUAAGUUAAAGUGUAGAGUGGGAACUCUAUCCUUGGACUGUGCAGCUGAGAAUGGGCCUGGCAUCUCAGGUGACAUGCAUCAAUGAAGCAAGUUUAGUUAUUCAUCCGUGAGCACAUGACUUAACUGAGCUUUCAUGAAUAAAAUGGAUCUUCACGAAGAAAAUGGAUUUAAUUGCCCAUCUUUCCAGGGUUGUCAUGAAUAUCAAGUUGAAUAAUAGAUACAGCGCUCCUAUCAAAUGGAGGGUACAAAAUAUUGUCCAUGUUCCCUUUCUCCUUCUUCCUUCCUAACUCCUAUGCCCAAACCUUGUCAAGGCUUUUUCCCCGACCCACAGAGCUUUCCACUUUUCUUUAGAAAAAAUACCAAUUCUCCCCUCUCAUUUAGAGCUCAGAUUUGUGAAGCUUUCUUUGUCCAAUACCAAGCACCACUGACCUAGAUUGAACUGUAUAGCUUUCCCAAGACUCAGUUUCCGCACACACAAAGUGAGAUGAUUAGACAGCAUAAUUUCCGUCUUUUUUAAUAUUAAAAUCCUUUAAUUCGACAUACUUUCAUUUCUCUCUCUUUCUCUCUUCCCUCUUCCCUCUUUUCCCCACUCUGCAUCACGCUGUGCUGGUGAAGAAUAUUCAAACCAUAAAUCAGAUUCAGGUGUUUACUUGCAUUGCUCACAAAUAGACAAUUUAAUUGUGCAAGAAUAGGUUCCCCUUUUUCUGAUUGAAUUAGUCAGUUCUGUCUCUUUCUGUUCCCUCCCUCUGGCUUUUCAUCUAUUUUUAGACAGACAGUCUGAAAAGUCUUAAUAUAUCAAUGACAUUUAUAACACAUGUUAAUAUCGAA
rnacentral:lncRNA from 1 species